GUGUGAUCUGAGUUGGUUUUUGUGAGCUGUGAUUUUGGGAGUAUUUGCGAUCGAUGGGCAGCAUAUCACAGGUGCAAAGUGAAGUGCCACGGAGAGAGAGAGAGAGAGGGGUCGGGUCGGGGUGAUACUACUCGUAGCUUGCAGCUGCAGGGAUGGGAAUUGGUUGGAGAAAUGCUAUCCUGCACCCCGACUGCAUCAGGGUACUGAUGCUGAUGAUGGUGGACGGAUGGGCAUCCAACGGCGGGGGACUUGAUAGGGAGUAGGGGUUGCAGCUGUUUGUUGGGCACAGGACCACAGGGGAGUUGGGGGUACACGUGGCGGGAAUAGGUUUGGGUGGUGAAUUGGCAUCAUGGAUCAGGGGCUCCGCACAAAUGGAAGCUAAUGUAGAAGCCGUACAAGUAGUGGAAGGACUAGGAAGGGGUAGCAGAGCGCAGCAGAGAGAGAGUACAAGUUGCUGGCCCGUCUCAAGAAGGGGAGACGAGACGUUGUAGAGGUGUUGGGUUGGCAACUGGCUGGUCCGGAACCGGAACCAACAACUUCUUGGGUCUCUGGGUGUCAAUGGAGUGGAGGAGGACAAAAUCAAGGAAGGACCGACUUGAGGCCGGCAGGCAGAGCUGGAUCAACAGACCAGCUGCAGCCACGGACUCGAAUCUCACAAUACUGCUCUGGAAAGAGAGAGACUAAUAAACUACCAAAUACCAAUAGCAGGAACGGAAAGUUUCAAGUCUGCAAAUUUGCUCCACGUCAUUUAUUUUUCGAGGCCUUCUGCCCAAAUUUUUUUUUCUGUUGGGUACUCCCAACUCUUCUAAAUCAACUGUUGGCCGUCGGGCACGCUCGAAGCCAUGACCAUCAUUUUUUAUAUUUUUUUAUUGGGUCUGGUUAUUGUA